AUUGAACGCUGGCGGCAAGCCUAACACAUGCAAGUCGAACGAGUGGCGGACGGGUGAGUAAUGUCUUGGAAACUGCCUGAUGGAGGGGGAUAACUACUGGACACGGUAGCUAAUACCCCAUACCCUCUGAUGUGCCCCGCGGGGAUUAGCGCGUAGGUGGGGUAAAGGCUCACCUAGGCGACGAUCCCUAGCUGGUCGGAGAGGAUGACCAGCCACACUGGAACUGAGACACGGGCCAGACUCCUACGGGAGGCAGCAGUGGGGAAUAUUGAACAAUGGGCGCAAGCCUGAUGCAUCCAGGCCGCGUGUAUGAAGAAGGCCUUCGGGUUGUAAAGUACUUUCAGCGGGGAGGCGUGACCCGCAGAAGAAGCACCGGCUAACUCCGUGCCAGCAGCCGCGGUAAUUC
rnacentral:rRNA from 1 species